UUUUGACCUCGGAUCAGGUAGGGAUACCCGCUGAACUUAAGCAUAUCAUAA
rnacentral:rRNA from 1 species